UGCUGUGGUGGAGUUUCAGGACGGUGCAAUGGCUGCUGUUCCCAGCACCUGGGUGGUCCAAAAACAAAAGGGAACAUUUUCAUACUGGACCAAUAACGAGGUCACCAAAAAAGUUAAAAAGGCGGUCCUGCCGGACAAGGACAAAUGGAAGAAAUUCCAAGUCAAAAAAAUAUGGCUAUGGACAGGUAAAAAAAUAUUUAAAAAAUAACUAAUGGCAGAAAUCAGACAUGUGUUAAGGCUGAAGAAUUGCAAACCUGGUUAUAUGGAGGCAAAACAUUGUACUUAGCAUAUUACUAAACUGCAUGAAAGAUUUCUCCCAUUCUUUCCCUUAAGAUUCAUACAGCAGGGCGGCCGAGAUGGCAAAAACAGCUACUUUUACUUCAAAUUUGGAGAGUGAGGUGGAAAUCAGUAA